AGUAAUACACACCUUAAUAUAUAAUAGAGUGUAUAACUAAUAAAUUGACUAAAAAUUAUACCAAACAAAAUAUUGAUAAUACACAUUAAUUAAUAUAUAUAUAUUAUUUUUGCUAAUAGGCUCUACCAAACGACGCUAAGAUUUCUUCUCCACCGCCCCACCCCACGUUUUUCAUCUGUAGCAUUGCCCAACUGUUUCUUCAUCUGAAAAUUUCAAUCCCAAUUCUGUUCCUCAUCUCUUUCUGCUCCAAUGAUAUCUAUCCUACUGAAAUAUCAAAUUCUUGGCUAAUGCAAUGACAUAAUUGUUAUCACAUAAAUCUUCGUUGGAUAUAUGGUUGGCAAAGUUCAACAUGCUCCUUAUUGAAAUCGCCAGAAGAAGAAGAGGCACACACCCUAAAACGUUUAUUAGCAUUGAGCUUUGUGGGUUAGCAGAAACCCCAUUUGAAAAAACCCAAAUUACACAAACCAGCUGGAUGAUUUCCAACCAAAUUCAACAUUGCAACAACUACUAUAUUCCCUGCAAAAAAAAAAAAAAAGAAAAAAGAAACAUUACUUUGGUCCAUUACUUUUGAUUUUGAAUCAAAUUAUUGUAAUUUUGAUUCUUGAAAAUAUUUUUCAAUGUUUUUAAUUGGAGAUAGUCGAUUGGUAG
rnacentral:lncRNA from 1 species